AACAGGAUUAGAUACCCUGGUAGUCCACGCUGCAAACGAUGUCGACUUGGAGGUUGUGCCCUUGAGGCGUGGCUUCCGGAGCUAACGCGUUAAGUCGACCGCCUGGGGAGUACGGCCGCAAGGUUAAAACUCAAAUGAAUUGACGGGGGCCCGCACAAGCGGUGGAGCAUGUGGUUUAAUUCGAUGCAACGCGAAGAACCUUACCUACUCUUGACAUCCAGAGAAUUUGCUAGAGAUAGCUUAGUGCCUUCGGGAACUCUGAGACAGGUGCUGCAUGGCUGUCGUCAGCUCGUGUUGUGAAAUGUUGGGUUAAGUCCCGCAACGAGCGCAACCCUUAUCCUUUGUUGCCAGCACGUAAUGGUGGGAACUCAAAGGAGACUGCCGGUGAUAAACCGGAGGAAGGUGGGGAUGACGUCAAGUCAUCAUGGCCCUUACGAGUAGGGCUACACACGUGCUACAAUGGCAUAUACAAAGAGAAGCGAACUCGCGAGAGCAAGCGGACCUCAUAAAGUAUGUCGUAGUCCGGAUUGGAGUCUGCAACUCGACUCCAUGAAGUCGGAAUCGCUAGUAAUCGUAGAUCAGAAUGCUACGGUGAAUACGUUCCCGGGCCAUGUACACACCGCCCGUCACACCAUGGGAGUGGGUUGCAAAAGAAGUAGGUAGCUUAACCUUCGGGAGGGCGCUUACCACUUUGUGAUUCAUGACUGGGGUGAAGUCGUAACAAGGUAACC
rnacentral:rRNA from 1 species